rnacentral:rRNA from 1 species
CCUACGGGAGGCAGCAGUAGGGAAUAUUGCUCAAUGGGGGAAACCCUGAAGCAGCAACGCCGCGUGGAGGAUGAAGGUUUUAGGAUUGUAAACUCCUUUUGUUAGAGAAGAUUAUGACGGUAUCUAACGAAUAAGCACCGGCUAACUCCGUGCCAGCAGCCGCGGUAAUACGGAGGGUGCAAGCGUUACUCGGAAUCACUGGGCGUAAAGAGUGCGUAGGCGGGGUAAUAAGUCAGAUGUGAAAUCCUGUGGCUUAAAUACAGAACUGCAUUUGAAACUGUUACUCUGGAGUGUGGGAGAGGUAGGUAGAAUUCUUGGUGUAGGGGUAAAAUCCGUAGAGAUCAAGAGGAAUACUCAUUGCGAAGGCGACCUGCUGGAACAUUACUGACGCUGAUGCGCGAAAGCGUGGGGAGCAAACAGGAUUAGAUACCCCAGUAGUC